rnacentral:rRNA from 1 species
UGGGGAAUCUUGCGCAAUGGGCGAAAGCCUGACGCAGCAACGCCGCGUGAGGGACGAAGGCUUUCUGAGUUGUAAACCUCUUUCGACAGGAACGAUUGUGACGGUACCUGUAGAAGAAGCACCGGCCAACUAUGUGCCAGCAGCCGCGGUGAUACAUAGGGUGCAAGCGUUAUUCGGAUUUAUUGGGCGUAAAGAGCUCGUAGGCGGUUCAAUAAGUGACGUGUUAAUCCCCCAGGCUUAACCUGGGGCCGCCACGUCAAACUGUUGUGACUAGAGUUUGGUAGGGGAUCACGGAAUUCCUGGUGUAGCGGUGGAAUGCGCAGAUAUCAGGAGGAACACCAGUAGCGAAGGCGGUGAUCUGGGCCAAUACUGACGCUGAGGAGCGAAAGCGUGGGGAGCGAACAGGAUUAGAUACCCGCGUAGUCC